CGUUGAAACACCGGUUCACGUAUGAUCACCGAAGUUAAGCAAUGACGAGUCUGGUUAGCACUUAGAAGGGUUACCGCUCGGAAAUAUCAGGUGCU